AACGCGAAGAACCUUACCGGGGUUUGAACUGCACGGGACAGCUCUAGAGAUAGAGUCUUCCUUCGGGACCCGUGUAGAGGUGCUGCAUGGCUGUCGUCAGCUCGUGUCGUGAGAUGUUGGGUUAAGUCCCGCAACGAGCGCAACCCUUGCCUCCUGUUGCUAACAGGUAAAGCUGAGCACUCUGGAGAGACUGCCGGUGAUAAACCGGAGGAAGGUGGGGAUGACGUCAAGUCCUCAUGGCCUUUAUGCCCCGGGCUACACACGUGCUACAAUGGCUGGUACAAAGGGUCGCAAAACCGCGAGGUGGAGCUAAUCCCAAAAAGCCAGUCCCAGUUCGGAUUGCAGUCUGCAACUCGACUGCAUGAAGUUGGAAUCGCUAGUAAUCGCGGAUCAGCACGCCGCGGUGAAUACGUUCCCGGGCCUUGUACACACCGCGAGC
rnacentral:rRNA from 1 species